rnacentral:rRNA from 1 species
AGCAGCCGCGGUAAUUCCAGCUCCAAUAGCGUAUAUUAAAGUUGUUGCAGUUAAAAAGCUCGUAGUUGAAUUUCGGGAUCAAUUAGUCGGUCGUGCCUCUGGUACGUACUGGUUUUAUUGGUUCCUCCCUUCUGACGAAACAUGAUGUCAUUAAUUUGGUGUCGUGGAGAAUCAGGACUGUUACCUUGAAAAAUUAGAGUGUUUAUAGCAGGCUAACGCUUGAAUACAUUAGCAUGGAAUAAUGAAAUAGGACGUUCGACCCUAUUCUGUUGGUUUCUAGGAUCGACGUAAUGAUUAAUAGGGAUAGUUGGGGGCAUUAGUAUUCAAUUGUCAGAGGCGAAAUUCUUGGAUUUAUUGAAGACUAACUACUGCGAAAGCAUUUGCCAAGGAUGUUUUCAUUAAUCAAGAACGAAAGUUAGGGGAUCGAAGACGAUCAGAUACCGUCGUAGUCUUAACCAUAAACUAUGCCGACUAGGGAUCGGAU